rnacentral:rRNA from 1 species
ACGGGAGGCAGCAGUGAGGAAUAUUGGUCAAUGGGCGGAAGCCUGAACCAGCCAAGUCGCGUGAGGGAAGACGGCCCUACGGGUUGUAAACCUCUUCUGCGCGGGGGUAAAGUCGGGGACGGGUCCCCGAUUGCAAGUACCGCGCGAAAAAGGAUCGGCUAACUCCGUGCCAGCAGCCGCGGUAAUACGGAGGAUCCGAGUGUUAUCCGGAUUUAUUGGGUUUAAAGGGAGCGUAGGCGGGCUUUUAAGUCAGUGGUAAAAGCGUGUGGCUCAACCAUACCACGCCAUUGAAACUGGAAGCCUUGAGUGCACACAGGGAUGCUGGAAUUCGUCGUGUAGCGGUGAAAUGCUUAGAUAUGACGAAGAACUCCGAUCGCGAAGGCAGGUGUCCGGGGUGUAACUGACGCUGAGGCUCGAAAGUGCGGGUAUCAAACAGGAUUAGAUACCCUGGUA